AGAACAAGUUCCUAGAUCAUCACCCUUUUAAGCUAAACAAGUUGGUCCGAUAAUAAUAAAUUUCAGCACAGUAACCAUUGUUCUAAUCUCUAAAUGAAAAUUGUUGAUUUCAUUAAAUUCAUAUUGUGCUUUGGACACACAAUUCCAAAAUCUAGCGCUUAGACAAAAAUGGGUCGAAACUAUGAUAAUAAUGGUUAGGAACCAAAUAGGCCUUCCGCCUCCACACCGUCAGAUUAUAAAAAAAGACAGUAUUGUAAUUUUUUGCAGUAUUACUCAGCAAGUCAGCAAUCAGUCACACAAAA
rnacentral:misc_RNA from 1 species